UCUGUUGGUUAGCGGCGGACGGGUGAGUAACACGUGGGCAACCUGCCUGUAAGACUGGGAUAACUUCGGGAAACCGGAGCUAAUACCGGAUAAUUCAUCCCCUCGCAUGAGGGGAUGCUGAAAGUCGGUUCACGCUGACACUUACAGAUGGGCCCGCGGCGCAUUAGCUAGUUGGUGAGGUAAUGGCUCACCAAGGCGACGAUGCGUAGCCGACCUGAGAGG
rnacentral:rRNA from 1 species